GAUGAACGCUAGCGGCAGGCCUAACACAUGCAAGUCGAGGGGCAGCACAGGUAGCAAUACUGGGUGGCGACCGGCGGAUGGGUGCGUAACGCGUAUGCAACCUACCAUUGAUUGGGGCAUAGCCCGAAGAAAUUCGGAUUAAUACUCCAUAAUAUUCAUCAAAGGCAUCUUUUAUGAAUUAAAGCUUUUGCGAUCAAUGAUGGGCAUGCGUGACAUUAGUUAGUUGGUGAGGUAACGGCUCACCAAAACGAUGAUGUCUAGGGGUUCCUGAGAGGAUUAUCCCCCACACUGGUACUGAGACACGGACCAGACUCCUACGGGAGGCAGCAGUGAGGAAUAUUGGUCAAUGGACGCAAGUCUGAACCAGCCAUGCCGCGUGCAGGAUGACGGCCCUAUGGGUUGUAAACUGCUUUUCCACGGGAAGAACCCUCCGACGUGUCGGAGACUGACGGUACCGUGGGAAUAAGCAUCGGCUAACUCCGUG
rnacentral:rRNA from 1 species